rnacentral:rRNA from 1 species
UACGUAGGGAGCAAGCGUUGUUCGGAUUUACUGGGCGUAAAGGGCGCGUAGGCGGCGCGGUAAGUCACUUGUGAAAUCUCUGAGCUUAACUCAGAACGGCCAAGUGAUACUGCAGUGCUAGAGUGCAGAAAGGGCAAUCGGAAUUCUUGGUGUAGCGGUGAAAUGCGUAGAUAUCAAGAGGAACACCUGAGGCGUAGGCGGGUUGCUAGGCUGACACUGACGCUGAGUGCGCGAAAGCCAGGGGAGCAAACGGG